AUUACUUUAUGGAGAUGCUCAGGAAACCAUUAAUGGGAACUGUACCAGAUGUAACUAUAUGGUUUUACACAAUAAUAACCUCUAUUAUUAUGUUGAUGGUCUCAACCUUAGUGUUGACUAAAUAUCGAUAGUGAACCAGUACCGUGAGGGAAAGGCGAAAAGAACCCCGGCGAGGGGAGUGAAAAAGAACCUGAAACCGUGUACGUACAAGCAGUGGGAGCACAGGUUUACCUGUGUGACUGCGUACCUUUU
rnacentral:rRNA from 1 species